AUGCGAGGGCCGUGUGGGAGAGAUACUACGUGUUACUCACCCGUCCGCCACUCGUUCCAUGUUGAAUCUCAGUGCAAGCACCGAUCAUCAACGAGAACUCGUUCGACUUGCAUGUAUUAGGCACGCCGCCAGCGUUCAUCCUGAGCCAGGAUCAAACUCU
rnacentral:rRNA from 1 species